GGGAAGAUAUACCGUAAGUGGAAGCGGGGCAGACUGUAAAUCUGUUGUCUUCGGACUCGGGUGGUUCAACUCCAUCUCUUCCCA
rnacentral:tRNA from 1 species